UGUAAUUUCAGUACCAGUAGUACAUCUUCUGGUACAUCUGUGGUCCUUCUGUAGCUCAGUUGGUAGAGCAUGGCGCUUGUAACGCCAGGGUAGUGGGUUUGAUUCACGGGACCACCCAUACGUAGAAUGUAUGCACACAUGACUGUAAGUCGCUUUGGAUAAAAGCAUUCGCUAAAUGGCAUAUAUAUCCAGUUAAUUAGGAACUCUCCUCAGUAUGUCCUGAGAAGAGAUCGUUAUUCAGAAGGGAGCAAUAGUGAUGAGUUCCAGGGGGGGGUUGAUUCCAGGCUGAAUUUCACAUUUUGCUCAGUAGAGUGCUUGUCACAGGAUUCUCAAUGUUUGACAAUGCACAAAAAGAGGAGGAGACGAAAAUGUCAUGGUGCCAUCAUGGCCUAGCUACAUCAGUGGUUUAUUCUUCUCCCAUUGAUCUCACACUAGCAGACAUGGGGCCCUGGCUGAGUAAUUUACUGAUUCUUGCUGCAUGUUGUUAUGAAUGCAGAGGAGAAGACUCAGUCAUUCAGCCACCAGGAGAUGUGAUCGCUACUGAGGGAGAACAGGUCACACUGGACUGUCAAUUUGAUGUCGUUAAUAU